rnacentral:rRNA from 1 species
AUUUUGGACAAUGGGGGAAACCCUGAUCCAGCCAUCGCGUGUGUAUGAUGAAGGCCUUCGGGUUGUAAAGUACUUUUGGCAGAGAAGAAAAGGUAUCCCCUAAUACGGGAUACUGCUGACGGUAUCUGCAGAAUAAGCAACGGCUAACUACGUGCCAGCAGCCGCGGUAAUACGUAGGGUGCAAGCGUUAAUCGGGAUUAAUGGGCGGAAAGCGUGUGUAGGCAGGUCGGAAAGGAAGAUGUGAAAUCCCAGGUCUCAACCUUGGAACUACAUUUUUAACUGCCGAGCUAGAGUAAGUCAGGAGGGGGUAGAAUUCCACGGGUAGCAGUGAAAUGCGUAGAUAUGUGGAGGAAUAACGACGGCGAAGGCAGCCCCCUGGGAUAAUUCUGACGCUCAGACACGAAAGCGUGGGGAGCAAACAGG